rnacentral:lncRNA from 1 species
GCCACCUGAGGGCGGGGUGGGGGCGUGGCCUCCGUGCACAUGGGAGACUCCAGGUGCAGGAGAGGGGGAGGUGGACUUCCUCUUGGUCUUCCCAAGCCAUGAAACUUCCUGGCUUGGUGGUAACAGAAGAGUCUCCUCCAGAUGUGACCAGGUGACCCCCCUCUGGCCAGGGAACAAUGGGCCGAAGUCCUCAGGGGAUUUGUGGGGAAGCGCGCCCCCUCCUCCUUGGGGUUUUCUUGCGGAGCUGCUGUGAAGACUCAGCUCAGCUGUGAUAAUUACCUGAGGUCAGCUUCUCCAGAAUGCCCUUAUCUCCUAAGGCCUUUGAGAUAAGCAGGAAUUGUGGUGUCUGCCUUGCCUCCAAACCUUUAUCCUUGCUUAUCUCAGUGGAAAAUUCCAGCAGGGAUUUCUGAACACCAAGUUAAAUUCCUCCACUCAACAAUCAGUUUGGCACGUGGCUGCCCGCCAGUCUGGGCAGAACAGAGGGGAGCCAAGGGAAUAAACCCAAGUCCUGCCCCCAGGUGCCCAGAGCCUGGCGGGGAUGGGACAGUUGCCUGCAGAGCAAGAGGCUGCCACCCAGUUUCACACAGGCCAGAGAGGCUGACCUACCUGCCCAGAGGCAGGGGAAGAAUCCAGAGGACCUCUCCCGGAGGAGGCACGAGAAGCCCACGUGGCAGCCAAGAAGAGGGAGAGCAUCCUGGGCCCCGGAAGCACAAUGCCAGGGGCAGACAUGCACUGGGAGGCACGGGGCCAGGGACACCUUCAGUGAGCACAGGGUCUGGGUAGGCUUCGGGAGGGGUGAGGGCGGAGAGGCAGCCAAGCCGGGUUGUGGGAGGCCCUGCCUAAUUCUGUAAAGACUAGGAUUAGAAACAUGACAAAAAUGGGUUAGGCACGGUGGCUCACACCUGUUAUCCACUUUGGGAGGCUGAGGCUGGUGGAUCAUCUGAGGCUGGGAGUUCAAGACCAACCUGGCCAACAUGGUGAAACCCCGUCUCUACUAAAAAUACAAAAAUUAGCCGGGCGUGGUGGCGCACACCUAUUAAUCCCAGGUACUAAGGAGGUUGAGGCAGGAGAAUUGCUUCAACCCAGGAGGCAGAGGUUGCAGUGAGCCCAGACCAUGCCACUGCACUCCAGCCUGGGCAACAGAACAAGUCUCUGUCUGAAAAAUAAAAUAAA